rnacentral:rRNA from 1 species
UACGUAGGGGGCAAGCGUUGUCCGGAAUUAUUGGGCGUAAAGAGCUCGUAGGCGGUCUGUGCGUCCGCUGUGAAAACUCGGGGCUUAACCCCGAGCCUGCAGUGGAUACGGGCAGACUAGAGGUAGGUAGGGGAGAAUGGAAUUCCCGGUGUAGCGGUGAAAUGCGCAGAUAUCGGGAGGAACACCGGUGGCGAAGGCGGUUCUCUGGGGCCUUACCUGACGCUGAGGAGCGAAAGCGUGGGGAGCGAACAGG